CACGUGGUUGGUCUGAGUGGCCCAGACGUGAACCAAGCACCGUCCCAGUGUGGAGCAUCGAGCCCACAACCGCCAGCGCGAAGGAAGAGUGGGAUCAGUGAUGCUCCCGUGUACGAAGGAGGGUGCCUGCGAGACAGCGUUCUGUCCCUGUGACGGUGUACCUACCGGGGGUGGGCCUGCGGCGUGCGGACAUUUCCAGGACAUGAGAAAUAGCUUGGACUAGUGAAGAAAGCGCAUCAGGACCACACGAGACACAGACUGUGGCACCGUAAAGGGAGCCCUGAUCUAUGGAGGACCGCCGGCCCCGACCCAGAGGGUGUGAGUCACUCCGGAGUUCGUUUUCUGCAUUACAGAGUGGUUUCUGGUGAAACUUGGAGCUUUUCAUAGCGCAUAGCAUUUCAACUUUGUCCUGAUGGAAAAGGUGGGAUUGGCGGAGAUGUUGUUUUCAGCUGGAGGACAACAGCGUGAUAAAUAGAGGGGGCUUUUCAGACGUGUUCAUCCAUCUGUGCCUCAUGAGAUAAAAAUGGGGAGGCAGAGAAUGGACAGUUGUUCCACUCAUUAAACAUAAAAGUCUCCUUGAGGUCGGCACAUCACGUGCUGCUUUCACCUGGACAGACUAACGGAGACACGAGAGGAUGGGACAGAGACCAGCGGGCCGUGAGGGACACGCACUGCGCUGUCCACAGCUUGGCCUCAGCCUGGCUCCCGCCUUCUCCUGGCCGUGUGAAGGACGUUUGUACUGCUUUUCUUCUGGUGAGAGCUGCUCUUGCCUCGUAAGUGACAGUCUAAUGGGAUAUGUGAGCCCUGCACACUUUGGGCCUCCAGGGAGGACCAGCUGCCCCUCUGACCACACAGCACCACCCCCAGGGGAGGAGCUGGCAAGGGUGUGGGCACCGUCAGUGCAGGGACCAUGAGUCACCUUGUUCACGGUUCUGAGAAGACAUUCGUUGGUUGAUUAUUACAGUGCUUCUUAGAAUCACCAUUUUUUUUAACCUAGUGAUGAUCAGCUACAGUUUUAAGAUUAACUUUGGGGCAUUCCCUUUAUGUCAAAGUCUAAUUUUCUGUUCCCAUGGCAACAGAAACAGAUGGGCACAGCCAGAGAUAAACAGUGUUUUCUUCUCUCCCUGCUCAGGAAUCUGGACCUGUCAGUAAUAAGAGUCUGUGUAUGAAAACACCCAAGGACUUCUCUUCCUGCCGUCACCCUUGGUUCAGCUGUGUGGAGGCCGUCAGACCAGGUCCCUGCUCAGCACCUUUCACCGUUGUUUCCCCGAAGAGAUGCAGUCGUCCGUCCAGGGAGUGCAGGUGCCAGGCUCUGGUCCGUUCAUAGCAGAGACUUCAGAGAGCCACAAAUGGCUGUGACCUAAUGAGAAAACCGUGCAUAGAUUGCGGACGUGCCAGCUUCUAACAGGCCCAGGGGGCCUGCACAGCCCUCCUGCCCAGCCUCGGGGCUGCGACAGGAGAAGCCUGGCAUGAGAUCUUCACUGCAUCCUGGAUCGAAGUGCCCGGCACUGGGCUGGGUACGUUUUGGGGAUUGCCUUGUAGUGAAUGGGCCUCUUUAAAAUUCAUGCAAGAUAAAUAAAAGAGCCAGAAUUCUAUGCCUUUGUUUAGAGAACACUUUCCUCAUAGGGGAAAAAAAAAUCACUUCUUCACCUAAUCAAGAACUUCAACUUCACAAUGGAAAAAAGAAGUAAAAGCGUGAGUACCUGUCCUUCGGACCGGAGUUUCCUGGGCACAUGCUGGGACACACGGCCUCAGGUUCUAGGCAGAGAACCACCAUGUCUGGCCCUGACCAGGAGGAUGCUGACCCGACAAGUAGGCAGUGCCUUUGGCAACCCUGUUCCUUCUUUUUAGUUUGUACAUCGUUUCCUCAUCUAGAUAUUCUGUUCUUCACUGUGCAUUUCUGCUGUACUAAUGCACGAGACAUCUCUUUUCAGCGGAAUGUGUGGAAAACCUGACAAGAUUCCUUUUCUAAAGACUUCAGGUCUUAAUUUCCCUUUGAUAUAUACUUCUGAGAAAUUUAGACACUUUCGUUUUGCUCAGAGCUCCUUUGCCAAAGACAACUCUGGUAGAAACAGAAUUCUAGGAAUCUGAGGGUUGUGGCACUGGAAUGAGAUUGGUUUUCCUAGAAGCCCAGACCCCUUCUGCCAGAUCGCCAGGAACUGUUGACAGGAGCCCUAGGUGAAGACCCCAAAGCAGGAGCUGCAUCAGCAAAUCUACUCUUCUUACCUGAAGAGCAAGACCCACAGGAUCACCCAGGUAAACAAAGCACAAAGGACUUCAACAGCCAGAUGAGCUGAGGCUCCCGGAGCAGCUCUGAAGUCUGGAGAAUGAUAAACUUGGCGGGUCCCCAGGCUCAUUGUCUAAUGUGUGACUCUCAGCUUAGCGGACAGAUAGGUCAUCCUGUAAAGGAAUGGCAAUCAUCACACGGCUGCUUAUUCUGGAGCACUGAGUCGGGAGGUUGUCUAGGAUUCUAGGAAAAAUGAGGGCAUCUCCACAUGAGUUGAGAUCAGCUAUCUCACUGCUUUCGCAUGAGCACUUCCUUUUAUGCAUCUGAUACUGAGACCCUUUCUGUGAAGAUUCAGGUGGUGGUGACAGCUGCCGAAGGCACCACUGAGGUGUUACCCCUGGCCAGCUGCCUGUGGGCUGCAGCUGAGUUGGUUACACCAGGUACCACUUCAGACAGCUGAAUAAAGGCUGUGACUCCACAACGUAACGUGCUGCCUUUCACCUUUUCACCUGCAGCAGGCAGAAGACACCACCUGAGACCACAGCUAAUGACUCAGGCUGCCACGAAAUCAGUUUGGUUCUUGUGAGGUUCAUGCAGAAAUCACAUCGGAGAACGGAUGGCAAGAUGGCUUUUAAGUUGAAACUUCUAUGAGACGAACAGUUGAGAAAGUAAUGGAGGUGUCCAGGAGUGGAAGUGGUUAGAAGGGUGGCUCCAUGACAUGCAAGCUCUGCUACGCGCAUGGUGACAGUGAUGCUGAUGAGACCGUCCAGUGCCCGAUGUGACUGCAUCUGGAGGUGACGCUGGGGGUCUAAGCAGGAGUGUGGCGUGGGGCGGCCAUAGGCAUCUGUUUCUGCACUUCGAGGGCCCUGGCGCAGGAACUGACUUGGCGACAUGAGGCCGCAGGAGAAGUGGAACUCCUCCGUCCCCCGGGCCUGGAUGUUGGGCACUGUCACAGCUACUCCUUGUCCCCAGCUGUCACCUCUGGGCAAUGUAGAGGCCUAGGCCCACAGUCCUGUGCAGGACUCCGCCUUCCAGGACAGUUUCCAGGCCAGGUUCCUGCCUCUUUCUCAUUGAAACCAAGUCCAAGGCCACGCUGCCACAUUCUUGGGAAAGCGGCCAACCACGGAAGACUCACAUUUCUGAUACCUGACUUGAUCUGAAUUUAGCCUCGGGUAUCUUUGUGUUUUGUUAGAAUGGAGGCAGUUAGAGUGGGGAUAUUUGUGUUCAAGGUGAAAAGAUGAGAUUGACUUAAAUGGGAGGCAAGAUAUAUUACUGAAAUCUCUUGAAAGGAGAACUAAUCUGAAAUAAGAUAUUCGGUGCUAUUUUUAGAUGAGGCGAGGAAACAGUACUAUUAGAUAUUACAGUUUCUGACAGUAGAAAUACUUCCUUUUGUGAAAAAGACUAUGAAUAAAUUUAGCAUGGAAACUAUAUUCAAAUAUAACUUCUAACAUCCAAUGCUUUAUAUAAUUUCACUGUUAAUAAAUAUAAAUCAAAGAAAAAUACCAUUGAAAAUAAAGUGUAAGGAAAGAUGUUUAUCUUUGCAUGCCAUAAUAAUCGAUUAGUGUAACAUCUUUCCGAACUACACCACUCAGAAUAUUUAAACAAUAUUAGACUCUAUAUGUAUAUGGAUAUAUG